UACGUAGGGUGCUAGCGUUGUUCGGAAUCAUUGGGCGUAAAGCGCGUGUAGGCGGUUAAUUAAGUCGGGUGUGAAAUCCCUGGGCUCAACCCAGGAAGUGCAUCCGAAACUAGUUAGCUGGAAGAUGGUAGAGGAAGGUGGAAUUCCAAGUGUAGAGGUGAAAUUCGUAGAUAUUUGGAGGAAUACCGGUGGCGAAGGCGGCCUUCUGGACCAUUCUUGACGCUGAGACGCGAAAGCGUGGGGAGCAAAC
rnacentral:rRNA from 1 species